GAUGAACGCUGGCGGCGUGCCUAAUACAUGCAAGUCGAGCGAACGGACGAGAAGCUUGCUUCUCUGAUGUUAGCGGCGGACGGGUGAGUAACACGUGGAUAACCUACCUAUAAGACUGGGAUAACUUCGGGAAACCGGAGCUAAUACCGGAUAAUAUUUUGAACCGCAUGGUUCAAAAGUGAAAGACGGUCUUGCUGUCACUUAUAGAUGGAUCCGCGCUGCAUUAGCUAGUUGGUAAGGUAACGGCUUACCAAGGCAACGAUGCAUAGCCGACCUGAGAGGGUGAUCGGCCACACUGGAACUGAGACACGGUCCAGACUCCUACGGGAGGCAGCAGUAGGGAAUCUUCCGCAAUGGGCGAAAGCCUGACGGAGCAACGCCGCGUGAGUGAUGAAGGUCUUCGGAUCGUAAAACUCUGUUAUUAGGGAAGAACAUAUGUGUAAGUAACUGUGCACAUCUUGACGGUACCUAAUCAGAAAGCCACGGCUAACUACGUGCCAGCAGCCGCGGUAAUACGUAGGUGGCAAGCGUUAUCCGGAAUUAUUGGGCGUAAAGCGCGCGUAGGCGGUUUUUUAAGUCUGAUGUGAAAGCCCACGGCUCAACCGUGGAGGGUCAUUGGAAACUGGAAAACUUGAGUGCAGAAGAGGAAAGUGGAAUUCCAUGUGUAGCGGUGAAAUGCGCAGAGAUAUGGAGGAACACCAGUGGCGAAGGCGACUUUCUGGUCUGUAACUGACGUUGAUGUGCGAAAGCGUGGGGAUCAAACAGGAUUAGAUACCCUGGUAGUCCACGCCGUAAACGAUGAGUGCUAAGUGUUAGGGGGUUUCCGCCCCUUAGUGCUGCAGCUAACGCAUUAAGCACUCCGCCUGGGGAGUACGACCGCAAGGUUGAAACUCAAAGGAAUUGACGGGGACCCGCACAAGCGGUGGAGCAUGUGGUUUAAUUCGAAGCAACGCGAAGAACCUUACCAAAUCUUGACAUCCUUUGACAACUCUAGAGAUAGAGCCUUCCCCUUCGGGGGACAAAGUGACAGGUGGUGCAUGGUUGUCGUCAGCUCGUGUCGUGAGAUGUUGGGUUAAGUCCCGCAACGAGCGCAACCCUUAAGCUUAGUUGCCAUCAUUAAGUUGGGCACUCUAAGUUGACUGCCGGUGACAAACCGGAGGAAGGUGGGGAUGACGUCAAAUCAUCAUGCCCCUUAUGAUUUGGGCUACACACGUGCUACAAUGGACAAUACAAAGGGCAGCGAAACCGCGAGGUCAAGCAAAUCCCAUAAAGUUGUUCUCAGUUCGGAUUGUAGUCUGCAACUCGACUACAUGAAGCUGGAAUCGCUAGUAAUCGUAGAUCAGCAUGCUACGGUGAAUACGUUCCCGGGUCU
rnacentral:rRNA from 1 species